rnacentral:rRNA from 10 species
CAACUUUCAACAACGGAUCUCUUGGUUCUGGCAUCGAUGAAGAACGCAGCGAAAUGCGAUAAGUAGUGUGAAUUGCAGAAUUCAGUGAAUCAUCGAAUCUUUGAACGCACAUUGCGCCCUUUGGUAUUCCAAAGGGCAUGCCUGUUCGAGCGUCAUUUGUACCCUCAAGC